UACAGAGGGUGCAAGCGUUGUUCGGAAUUACUGGGCGUAAGGGCUCGUAGGCGGCCAACUAAGUCGGACGUGAAAUCCCCAGGCUCAACCUGGGAACUGCAUCCGAUACUGGAUGGCUUGAAUUCGGGAGAGGGAUGCAGAAUUCCAGGUGUAGCGGUGAAAUGCGUAGAUAUCUGGAGGAACACCGGUGGCGAAGGCGGCAUCCUGGACCGGUAUUGACGCUGAGG
rnacentral:rRNA from 1 species